rnacentral:RNase_P_RNA from 1 species
CCAGUCGGCCGGGCGGCCGCUCCGCUCAGGCGGGGAGGAAAGUCCGGGCUCCAUGGAAACACGGUGCCGGCUAACAGCCGGCGGGGGAAACCUCAGGGAAAGUGCCACAGAGAGCAGACCGCCCCGCCUGUAAAUCGGCCCCUUUGCGGGGCAGGCCGCGACAGACGGGCCGAUUUACCGGCGGGGUAAGGGUGAAAGGGUGGGGUAAGAGCCCACCGCGCGCCUGGCGACAGGGGCGGCACGGCAAACCCCACCGGGAGCAAGACCGAAUAGGGAUGGCGCGAAGGGCAACCUUCAGGGCUGUUUCCGGCCCGGCCAUCCGGGUUGGUUGCACGAGGCGGAUGGCAACAUCCGUCCCAGAUGAAUGGCCGCCACGUUCCGCAGUCGCGAGAUUGCGGGGCCAUACAGAACCCGGCUUACAGGCCGGCUGGCAAU